AUUGAACGCUGGCGGCAUGCCUAACACAUGCAAGUCGAACGAGUGGCGGACGGGUGAGUAAUGUAUGGGAAACUGCCUGAUGGAGGGGGAUAACUACUGGAAACGGUAGCUAAUACCGCAUACCAUACGAGGUGCCCAGAUGGGAUUAGCUAGUAGGUGGGGUAAAGGCUCACCUAGGCGCAGAUCCCUAGCUGGUCUGAGAGGCUGACAAGCCACACCGGAUCUGAGACACGUUCCAGACUCCUACUGGAGGCCGCAGUGUGUAAUAUUGCACAAUGGGCUCAAGCCUGAUGCAGCCAUGCCGCGUGUAUGAAGAAGGCCUUCGGGUUUUAAAGUACUUUCAGCGGGGAUGCGUUACCCGCAGAAGAAGCACCGGCUAACUCCGUGCCAGCAGCCGCGGUAAUAC
rnacentral:rRNA from 1 species